CAUAUUUUUCUUGUCAUUUUCUUCUCAUUUUCACUUACAUUCUUAAGAAAGUUUAUUGACCACAAAUCAUAAACUGAGAUUGGAACCUUUUUAAGAUUAUUAUUAUUAUUAUUAUUAUUAUUAUUAUUAUUAUUAUUAUUAUUAUUAUUAUUAUUAUUAUUAUUAUUAUUAUUAUUAUUAUUAUUAUUAUCAUUAUUUCUUACUUCAUGUUUGACAGUAUGAGGUCAAUCUUUUAUAGGAUCAGAAUAUGUGAGUUUACUUAAGUUUUACAAAGACGCCAAAUACUUUAAGAUAGGAUCGAGUCUUUUUAGUUGAGUUUGCAGUGUCCAUGACAGAACUCUUGCAUCAGGGAGUUGGACAGCUAAAGGAUGAAAGAAUGAAGAUGCUGGUUAACUCUUGCAUCAGGGAGUUGGACAGCACAGGGAUGAAAGAAUGAAGAUGCUGGUUAACUCUUGCAUCAGGGAGUUGGACAGUGUUGAGAUGAAAGAAUGAAGAUGCUGGUUAACUCUUGCAUUAGGGAGUUGGACAGCACAGGGAUGAAAGAAUGAAGAUGCUGGUUAACUCUUGCAUCAGGGAGUUGGACAGCACAGGGAUGAAAGAAUGAAGAUGCUGGUUAACUCUUGCAUCAGGGAGUUGGACAGUGUUGAGAUGAAAGAAUGAAGAUGCUGGUUAACUCUUGCAUCAGGGAGUUGGACAGCACAGGGAUGAAAGAAUGAAGAUGCUGGUUAACUCUUGCAUCAGGGAGUUGGACAGCACAGGGAUGAAAGAAUGAAGAUGCUGGUUAACUCUUGCAUCAGGGAGUUGGACAGUGUUGAGAUGAAAGAAUGAAGAUGCUGGUUAACUCUUGCAUCAGGGAGUUGGACAGCUAAAGGAUGAAAGAAUGAAGAUGCAGGUUAACUCUUGCAUCAGGGAGUUGCACAGCUAAAGGAUGAAAGAAUGAAGAUGCUGAUUAACUCUUGCAUCGGGGAGUUGGACAGCACAGGGAUGAAAGAAUGAAGAUGCUGGUUAACUCUUGCAUCAGGGAGUUGGACAGCUAAAGGAUGAAAGAAUGAAGAUGUUGGUUAACUCUUGCAUCAGGGAGUUGGACAGUGUUGAGAUGAAAGAAUGAAGAUGCUGGUUAACUCUUGCAUCAGGGAGUUGCACAGCUAAAGGAUGAAAGAAUGAAGAUGCUGGUUAACUCUUGCAUCGGGGAGUUGGACAGCACAGGGAUGAAAGAAUGAAGAUGCUGGUUAACUCUUGCAUCAGGGAGUUGGACAGCUAAAGGAUGAAAGAAUGAAGAUGUUGGUUAACUCUUGCAUCAGGGAGUUGGACAGUGUUGAGAUGAAAGAAUGAAGAUGCUGGUUAACUCUUGCAUUAGGGAGUUGGACAGCACAGGGAUGAAAGAAUGAAGAUGCUGGUUAAUCCUUGCAUUUGGGAGUUGGACAGCACAGGGAUGAAAGAAUGAAGAUGCUGGUUAACUCUUGCAUUAGGGAGUUGGAUAGCACAGGGAUGAAAGAAUGAAGAUGCUGGUUAACUCUUGCAUUAGGGAGUUGGACAGCACAGGGAUGAAAGAAUUGAGAUGCUGGUUAACUCUUGCAUUAGGGAGUUGGAGAGCACAGGGAUGAAAGAAUGAAGAUGCUGGUUAACUCUUGCAUUAGGGAGUUGGACAGUGUUGAGAUGAAAAAAUGAAGAUGCUGGUUAACUCUUGCAUCAGGGAGUUGGACAGCACAGGAAUGAAAGAGUGAAGAUGCUGGUUAACUCUUGCAUCGGGGAGUUGGACAGCACAGGGAUGAAAGAAUGAAGAUGCUGGUUAACUCUUGCAUUAGGGAGUUGGACAGCACAGGGAUGAAAGAAUGAAGAUGCUGGUUAACUCUUGCAUCGGGGAGUUGGACAGCACAGGGAUGAAAGAAUGAAGAUGCUGGUUAACUCUUGCAUUAGGGAGUUGCACAGCUAAAGGAUGAAAGAAUGAAGAUGCUGGUUAACUCUUGCAUUAGGGAGUUGGACAGUGUUGGGAUGAAAGAAUGAAGAUGUUGGUUAACUCUUGCAUUAGGGAGUUGGACAGUGUUGGGAUGAAAGAAUGAAGAUGCUGGUUAACUCUUGCAUUAGGGAGUUGGACAGCACAGGGAUGAAAGAAUGAAGAUGCUGGUUAACUCUUGCAUCAGGGAGUUGGACAGCUAAAGGAUGAAAGAAUGAAGAUGCUGGUUAACUCUUGCAUUAGGAAGUUGGACAGCACUGCGAUUAAAGGAUGCAGGUUACUUAAGUUCACAGACAUAAUACCUUCAUAAGAUAGGAAUAUUUGUGUUCUUACUUAAGUUUUACGAAGAUAUUACACCUUAAGGUAGAAUACAAGUUUUAUAUUAUAUUCGCACCAUUGAUGACAACUUGGACCAAAAGGAUAGGUUACUUAAGUUCACAGACAUCAGACCUUCACAAGAUUGGAACACAGUGGAACCUCAGGUCACAGACAUCUCUCACCAUGAACAAAUUGGCUCACGAACGAAUUUUCCGAACAAAACAGCGUCUUGGGUGAUGAACAGCGUCUUGAACUAUGAAUUUUCCGAUACCCUACCCCCCUGUCCACCCAGCAGUGAAUGGGUACCAGGUAUUAAUCAGGGGUUGUGUCCCAUCUCCUGUAAUCUGUUCCCCUCUCCUAUAAUUCCUUCCCCUCCUGUCUCUCCAGCACAGAUGUUGCACCGACUAAACAAAACUUUCCAACUACUUUCGAGCUAUGAACACGUGAUCUGUCAACAUGGUGGUACAACAAGCUGGGCGUCAGUGCUGUGUGGCUUUCGAUAAGUACACCUCUCUGCUUGAAUUCCCUGUGCCUUCUGAAUUUCACUGUGUUUUGUGGGUUUAUUUUAUAGACUGUUAGAUAAGGCACCAUGGGGGCAAAGAAGGAUAAUGAUUGCAGCAAAGUGGAUGGAAGAAUUACCAGAAUCAUGAUGGAGGUUGUGAUAGGUGUGACGGGAAGAGGCAAACACUGCAGGGUGGCUACAGGUUUAAUGUGUGGUGUGUGGCCGCCGCCUUGUGACUGGCAAACGAAAAGCAAAUAGCGUCUCAAUACAUUACCAGAACAAUGAAUGAAACACCAAACCUUAGCCCCAACUCAGUGCCGUUACAGAUACAGAACCCUCACAACCCGCCGCCAUGUAUUACAGAGGUGAAGAAAGACAUCAUCGCCAAACACGAAAACGGUGUUCGUGACUCAGAUCUUCCUGCUCGGUCUGGCGUGGCAAAAUCAACGCUCUGAACUAUUCUCAAAAAUAAAGGGACAUUCAAGGGAGCCAGUGUUGCAAGAGGAGUGACAGUUCUUACUUGACAAAGAUCACAGACGAUUGAAAGAAUGAAGAUGCUGGUUAACUCUUGCAUUAGGAAGUUAGACAGCACAGGGAUGGAAGGAUGCAUGUUACUUAAUCCUAGAUUACCAGCGUUGCUGAAGUAACAUGGUUACCAGCGAUGUCCGGAAUUCCAGACAAACUUUGUGGGCAUAAAAACACAUAUAGGAAUGGUACAAAGUUUAAUUACUAAAUUUUUGCUUAAACUAGAAUACACUCUUAAUUCUGUGACCUAUAAACUUAACAUAUUACCCAAAAAAAUCAUUACAAAAAAAAAUUUAAAAAAAUGUGUGAAACUUUCAAAAAACGCUACCUUUCCCUAAUGAAGGCACCACUGCCAGAGUGUUGGCUGAUUGUGUUGAGAUGUGCCAAACGUGGAGUUCACACGUCCCCCGAAAUGUUCCAGCCUCGGAAGCCCUUAUGCCUGCAUUAUACUUGAUAUAUCAUACGUAAUGACUAUCGUUGUCCGGAACUCUGGACAAUUGGGAACAAUUCAGGAAUUAACCACGGGAAAACACAAACGUACCUCACGCACCAAGGGCAGAAUGGCAACUGAGAUGUCACGGCCGUACAGCACCGUGGGUCUAACAGAUUUCCUUCCGUGACGCUAAUUAACCCCCCAUGCCGGGAUUCUGGACAACACCGGUAAUUUAGGGUUAAGUUCACAGACACCAUACCUUCAUAGGAUAGGGAUACGCUGCUGAUUUGGAUGAACGAGAAACUGUUAGCUGGUGGCAGUGUUUCCGAGGCUGUCAUUUGUGAGGAAGCGAGGCGGCUGCUUGAUGACCUGGUAAAAAGAUAGCCUGGUAUGAGUGCUGAUGCUGGUGUUUCCAUAGCCAGCAAUCAUCAUCAAUUUGGCCUUCAGGAACUAUUUAAAUUUCUGAGCCUAGAAACCGAGAGAGCCCGGGUUCGAUUCCUGGACAGAGUGGAAAAAUUUGGGCGGCUUUUCCGAUACCCUACACCCCUGUCAACCCAGCAGUGAAUGGGUACCAGGUAUUAAUCGGGGGUUGUGUCCCAUCUCCUUGGAUCUGUUCCCUUCUCCUAUAAUUCCUUCCCCUUCUGUCUCUUUCCGGCAUAUGACCACAGAUGUUGCGCCGACUAAACGAAACUUUCCAACUUCUUGUGAGCCGAGGUUCUGCUGUCUAUGUGUCUUUUCUUAAGUUUUACAGAUAUUACAUGCUUAUAAGAUAGAACAUGUGUUAGCUUAUAUUUGCAGCUUUCAUGACAGACUUAGACCAUAAAGAUAGAUUACUUAAGUUGAGAAAGAGACAAGGUUAUGGGAGUGUUGUUUUUAGUUUUGUUUUUUCCCUUUUUUUUAUUCCGAGCACAAGAAAAGAUUGAAAAAGAACCCACACAAGGACAGAAGGAAGGUUAUUGAAGUUUACAGCAGUCACCAUGAAGCACAUUAUUAGUUUACUUAUUUAGUGCAGUCAUCGUGUGGUUACUUACCGUGCGAGAGAGGGGAAAUGUGCUUCACGACUCCUGGGGUAAAGAAAAUGUAGAAAGUAGCUAAAGAUAGGCAUAGGAAGGCUUAAGUUCUAUAGUAAAACAAGGCUGAGGGAGAGGUCAUAAGAAGGAACAAUACAGACAAAGAAAGGCUUAAGUUCUAUAGUAAAACAAGGCUGAGGGAGAGGUCAUAAGAAGGAACAAUACAGACAAAGAAAGGCUUAAGUUCUAUAGUAAAACAAGGCUAAGGGAGUGGUCAUAGGAAGGAGCAAUACAGACAAAGAAAGGCUUAAGUUCUAUAGUAAAACAAGGCUGAGGGAGAGGUCAUAGGAAGGAACAAUACAGACAAAGAAAGGCUUAAGUUCCAUAGUAAAACAAGGCUGAGGAAGAGGUCACAGGAAGGAACAAUACAGACAAAGAAAGGCUUAAGUUCUAUAGUAAAACAAGGCUGAGGGAGAGGUCAUAGGAAGGAACAAUACAGACAAAGAAAGGCUUAAGCUCUAUAGUAAAACACGUAAAACUGGCCGAUGGGGUAGUGGCGGCUGCAGGGUUAACCUAGCCCCGCACCUUGCCACACACUCUCAACACCUCUCGCUAGGCUAGGCUAGUUUCACGUGGAAAACUAUAGCGUCGAUCGGAGCCAUUGGUAACCAUCAAAACAAACAAAACGACUGUGAAAGUGGCCCACAGAGAUUACCAGCGAAAGGGAUGAAAGACACGGAGCUAAUGUUUGGUGUAUAGAAAGUCCAGUUCUUGCCAUUAUGUGAGUUUUUUGUCAGGCGCUGAUAUGUUCUGCAGAAAAAUUGGUGCCUUUGAGAAACAAGUUAUGUGAUUAUUGGUAUUGUUAUUGUUAUUACCUUCAAAGAAUUAAACGGCAUACCCUUCAAAAUAUUACGCAGAAGUAGUUAGCCUCGGAAAAUCCUCAUUAUUAUUAGUGUCGGCAAUGUUGAGACAACCCGGUAGCAGCGACGGGCCAAAUGCAGGGAGUCCUUGAUUUGCACGAUAGAUGCGUUCCAGAAGGGACCGUGCAAUGUAAGGAUGAUCACCCCCAGCACUGGAGUAAACUGGGUAAUUAUUGAAAAUCACUCCGCACCUCCAAAAUACAAUAUUACGCCUCCAUAUUGUACUUAAGGGACGAAAUACAUAUGUGGCUUUACAGUGUACCAGCGACGGGCCAAAUUCUUGCCUUCACAUAAACCCCCAAAAUAGAGGAUACAUAAACUGAUCACAAAUGCAUUAAUACAUAUAUACUAAUGGUUGGUGUGAGUGAUGAUUUUUUCUUAUUAAUUCGCUUAGAGGGGUCUUUAAGAAACAUGAUCCCCGCAGCUACUGGGUUAAAGUUAGGUACAUGCGACGAUGUAAACAUUUUAUUUUGUGUGUUCAAGUUGAGGGUCUUGUGUUACUGUGCCUUAACCCGGUAGCUGCGGGGAUCAUGUUUCUUAAUGGUCCCUCUAAGCGAGAAAAAUGAGAAAAAAUCACCCCUCACACAAACCAUUUCAUAAUAUAUAUCAAAGCAUUUGUGAUCAGAUUAUGUAUCAUCUAUUUUGGGGGGUUUAUAUCAUGGCACAAAUUUGGCCCGUCGCUGCUACAUGUUAAAGCCACAAAUUUGGCCCGUCGCUGCUACACGGUAAAGCCACAAAUUUGGCCCGUCGCUGCUGCAUGGUAAAGCCACAAAUUUGGCCCGUCGCUGCUGCAUGGUAAAGCCACAAAUUUGGCCCAUCGCUGCUGCAUGGUAAAGCCACAAAUUUGGCCCGUCGCUGCUACACGGUAAAGCCACAAAUUUGGCCCGUCGCUGCUACACGGUAAAGCCACAAAUUUGGCCCGUCGCUGCUACACAGUAAAGCCACAAAUUUGGCCCGUCGCUGCUGCAUGGUAAAGCCACAAAUUUGGCCCGUCGCUGCUACACAGUAAAGCCACAAAUUUGGCCCGUCGCUGCUGCAUGGUAAAGCCACAAAUUUGGCCCGUCGCUGCUACACGGUAAAGCCGCAAAUUUGGCCCGCCGCUGCUACUGGGUUAACAGAACAACAAACAAUAAUAACAAUAACAAUAAAAACAAUACUAGUAAUGUUUCCCACCAAGUAUCCGUCCGAACCAACCGUCCAAACUAUAUAGGAGAAACUUAGAUCAGGCUAAAACGUUUUUGAAAUCAACGUGGCUCUGUUGUGGUAGCAGAAACGUCCUUUUAAAAGCUGCAUUUACUCAUAUUAGGAAGUUUUUAUCAAGUUCAAAACAAGGAAGAAAAACAAAAAUUAGGCUUAGACGUGUUUGUAAUCUGUGUUCCUUUGUGUUGUUCUUUUAAAAGCUGCAUUUACACAUAUUAGAUAGAUAGAUAGAUAGAUAGAUACUUUAUUCGUCAAAUUGUGAUACAUUAAAUUUUGUAUAUUAGGAAGUUUUUAUUACGUUCAAAACAAGGAAGAAAAACAAAAAUUAGGCUUAGACAUGUUUGUAAUCUGUUCCUUUGUGUUGUUCAGUUAGUUCUGUUUGUGGGAAUAGAGGAAAUGAGUAAUGAGAGAAGGAAGGAAAAAAUACAAGGAAAAACAGAAAAAAGAAAUAGAAGAAGAAUGAGGAAGUAGGAGAACACGAGACAAGCGACGCAUAGUGAAAAAGAAUGAGGAAAAUAAAAAAUAAAAGGAAAGAAAAAUGGAAAGAGGAACUGAAAGAGAAUAAAAAGCAUACUUGUGACAUGCUUAUAAAGGCUUCAAGGCGUGACAGAAUGAUGGAGUUAAAAGAUUCACUAUUUUUUGGGGUUUUUGUAUAAGUUCAGGGAAGGUCGAAAGCAUAAAGGGAUUGGAUUCUGUAUAGGUGGAACUCUUAUAAGGGGUUCUGAUGCCAUGUUGUAAGAGAAAGAUAGGGUUAAAAGACAUUAUAAUUACGUUUUUGUUAUAUAUAUAAGUUCAGGGAAGGUCGAAAGCAUAAAGGGAUUGGAUUCUGUAUAGGUGAAACUCUUAUAAAGGGUUCUGAUGCCAUGUUGUAAGAGAAUGAUAGGGUUAAAUGAUAUUCCAACUACGUUUUGUUUUAUAUAUAAGUUCAGGGAAAGUCGAAAGCAUAAAGGGAUUGGAUUCUGUAUAGGUGGAACUCUUAUAAAGGGUUCUGAUGCCAUGUUGUAAGAGAAUGAUAGGAUUAAAAGAUAUUCUAAUUACAUUUUUGUUUUAUGUAUAAGUUCAGGGAAGGUCGAAAGCAUAAAGGGAUUGGAUUCUGUAUAGGUGGAACUUUUAUAAAGGGUUCUGAUGCCAUGUUGUAACAGAAUGAUAGGGCUAAAUGAUAUUCUAACUACAUUUUGUUUUAUAUAUAAGUUCAGGGAAGGUUGAAAGCAUAAAGGGAUUGGAUUCUGUAUAGGUGAAACUCUUAUAAGGUGUUCUGAUGCCAAGUUGUAACGGAGUGAUGAGGUUAAAAGAUCUAAUUCCAUCACUAUAGGUACAUUUCCCUUUAUGUAUAAGUUCAGGGAAGGUCGAAAGCACAAAGGGAUUGGAUUCUAUAUAGGCGAAACUCUUACAAGGGGUUCUGAUGCCAUGUUGUAACAGAAAAAUAGGGUUAAAAGAUGCACUAAUUCCAUCACUGUAGGUUCGUUUUGUUGUAUAUAUAAGUUCAGGGAUAGCCAAAGGAACAAUAGGAUCGGAUUCUGUAAGGGGGAAACUCUCUUCUAUAAAGGUGUUCUGAUGUCAUUAUAGUGGAAUUAUUCUUUUAAACUUCUCUAAUUAGACCAUUAUAGGCAAGUGUUUAUGUAUUAGUUCAAGGAAAAGCCAGAUAUACAAAAAGGAUCGGAUUCUGUAAGUUAUAAUGAAGUGGGUUUGUAAGUAUGUAAGUGUGUGUAGUGGUGUUAUCGGUGGUGGUAGUGGUGGUGUCAUGUAUCGUAGUGGUGGUGGUGUAAGGGUUGUUUCUCCUGGCCAGUGGUAUACGGAGUGGUUGGUUCCAUUCCCUAGUCAUCCGUCGCACGUUUUUCGCCUUCACGGAUUUGUGGAUUUGUAAACGAGAUAUAUUUUUGUACCGUAGCAGCACCGGCGCACCAGUUUGUAAGGGGACUCGAGUACGGUGAAACCUCUGCGUGUCGGCAUUCUGGAAGUUAAUUUUUUUUUUUUUCUCUCUUGACGGCAAAGGAAGCAAUUAAACUAGGUAGCUGCGGGGAUCAUGUUUUUUAAAGGCCCCUCUAAGCGAAUUAAUGAGAAAAAAUCAUCACUCACGCAAACCAUUUCAUAAUAUAUAUCAACGCAUUUGUGAUGAGUUUAUGUAUCAUCUAUUUUGGGGGUUUAUAUCAUGGCACAUGGUACACGGUAAAGCCACAAAUUUGUCCCGUCACUGCUACUGGGUUAAGGGCAAAAGCAAACAAUGAAGGCCCACCAAGUGUUCCUCCCCCAAAAAAGAGCCCAGAAUGAGUGGUCAGAGAGUACAGGGUCAGUGUCUGAUUUGAACUACAGUCUUAUAGUUUAUAGUGCUGCCGUUAUGAAAGCCAGAAUUUUCUUUUUCUCCACUCCCACACGAAACACACAAGAAAUUAAUCCAGACAAGGAAAGGUUUGCCGGCGCCGGGGAUCGAACCCACAACCAGCGUAACGGGAGAGCCACUCCUUAACCAGUCGGCCAAAGAUGUACCCCCCUGGCUAAGUGGGUUAUGGGAGGCUCCUCACCCAUCAGGCAAGUCAGCAUUACAAUUAUUGCUUGACUCAUGUGGCCCCCAGAGCUCCACUUGAUCUAUAGUUUUCCUAGAUUCAAGGUUGAUAGCCGGUCAUUUGAAGUGUAUUUGAACAGGACUUUAUCUAUGCAAACUUAGUACAUUCAUUUAGGUUACAAUUCAUAUUUUUUCUCAUAGUCCGCAAAUGGUGAUAUGGUGAUGGGCAAGCCUUUUCUUCUCUUUCACCACAUCAAAGGAGGCAGCUAAAGGGAUGCCCAAAGGUACAAUUAUGCCAACACAGAAGAGGUUUCGCCGUAUAUUUCUUGUCAUUAUCUUUAGGGGUAAGGUUUGUGAUCCAGACUUAAGCUAUAUGCUCUAAGGUAUAUUCCAGUAAAGCUUCCUUGCAGUUGUACGCCAAGAGGUUAGGUUCGUUUCAUAUAUGAUUUGCUCUAUUUUUUUAACAAGUGUGUGCCAGAAUGUUAAGUUUGUGCCAUUGUUCUGUUAGUUUCUUGUAUAUUUCAGUGUGGUAUCAGAGAGGAAGGUCGGGCAUCCAUGUGUCUGUGAUCCGUGUGUCUCUGGUAAUGAGUGUGUGUGUGUGUGUGUGUGUGGGGGGGGUGAUUUAUGUAUGUCUGGUAUUCCAAGUGUGUGUGUGUGUGUGUGUGAUCCGUGUGUAAGGGAAGAGAAGUGUUGCAACGACCACAUCAAUCUUGGGGUUGGAUCACAAACCAGUGGACACGGAUCACAAACAAAUGAAUGCCGAGACUUACGACAUGCUGACCUUUAAUUCCCCUCAGAGCCAUAGGAGAGUGUGACCACCUUCACCUCAUGCGCCAGGUCACCAAAAGAACAAUUAGGAACUCAAAUUGGGACUCAAAUUCAUGGUGAUGUAAGUGUUUCCGGAGCUCUGGGUGGUACUGAGAUCUUGACCAUCGCUAGAGCACUAAAAAGCAGUAUCGUGUCGGCAUAUAUUUGAAGUCCAGGUGGUUUUGGUAACAUGGUGCCAGUGAAGAUGAAGGUGGUCACUCUCCCGUCCUGUGGCUUUGGUGGUCUUCAGCUCUGUCAAGGAAGGGACAAAUAGGCAGGUAUUUUAAUUCUCUCUUUUGGUCAGUCAGUGAGAGAGAGACUGCUGAGGAGAGUUCCCUAGACCAUCUUUGCCCUUAACCCGGUAGCAGCGGGGAUCAUGUUUCUUAAUGGUCCCUCUAAGCGAGAAAAAUGAGAAAAAAUCAUCACUCACACAAACCAUUUCAUAAUAUAUAUCGAAGCAUUUGUGAUCAGUUUAUGUAUCAUCUAUUUUGUGGGGUUUAUAUCUUGGCACAAAUUUGGCCCGUCUCAGCUACAAAGCCACAAAUUUGGCCCGUCGCUGCUACCGAGUUAACUCAGGCUCAGCUCCUCACAGCAUCUCUCUUCUCGCCUCCCUGUCUGUCUUUCUGGCUCCGGGGUCGCUGAGGAGAGUUCCCUAAGCUGCCGUGCUGGCUUUCAUUCUCUUCAGCUCUGUCAAGGAAGGGGCAACUAGGCAGGUAUUUUAAUUCCCUCGUUCGGUCAGUCCGUGAGAGAGACUGCCAUGAUAUUUUAGGCCAUAUAUUUCUUGUCAUAUUUAGGCA